rnacentral:lncRNA from 13 species
GAAGCAGGAGAAUUGCUUGAACCUGGGAGGUGAAGGUUGCAGUGAGCUAAGAUUGCGAUUGCGCCAUUGCACUCCAGCCCAGGCGAAAGAGUGAGACUCUGUCUCAAAAAAAUAAAUAAAUAAAAGAAGAAGAACCUUCUGAUACAGUGUUAGAGAAGAUCUCUCGGAGGAACUGGUAUUAGCUGAUAUCUGCAUGGGCCUGAUUCCUAAUAAUCACCUUGAAACUCAGACCCUGUUUUGGCACCUGUUUCAGGAGAACACCACCUGCAAAGUUAUCAAAUCUGAAGGAAAGGAAACAUCGAAUGAAAAGGAAAAUGAAUUUGAAGAAAAAGAAUGUGCCGGAUGUGCGGCAAUGUAAGUAAAUAUGGAUUCGUCAGUUUCUUAGAGAGUAUUUUAUAUCC